rfam:Bacillus sp. SJS contig_04, whole genome shotgun sequence.
AUGAAAAAGCAGAAGCACCCGCUUCUCACCUGAUUGACGCAAUUUGCAGUUAGCAGGUAUGACGAGAUCAAAACUUGGUUAUUUGAAUUCGUAGUGUGGGUGUGUCAUGCGCCCGCACUUUUUAUAUGCU